rnacentral:rRNA from 1 species
GGGCAGCAUGAACUUAGCUUGCUAAGUUUGAUGGCGACCGGCGCACGGGUGAGUAACACGUAUCCAACCUGCCGAUGACUCGGGGAUAGCCUUUCGAAAGAAAGAUUAAUACCCGAUGGCAUAGUUCUUCCGCAUGGUGGAACUAUUAAAGAAUUUCGGUCAUCGAUGGGGAUGCGUUCCAUUAGGUUGUUGGCGGGGUAACGGCCCACCAAGCCUUCGAUGGAUAGGGGUUCUGAGAGGAAGGUCCCCCACAUUGGAACUGAGACACGGUCCAAACUCCUACGGGAGGCAGCAGUGAGGAAUAUUGGUCAAUGGACGAGAGUCUGAACCAGCCAAGUAGCGUGAAGGAUGACUGCCCUAUGGGUUGUAAACUUCUUUUAUACGGGAAUAAAGUGAGGCACGCGUGCCUUUUUGUAUGUACCGUAUGAAUAAGGAUCGGCUAACUCCGUGCCAGCAGCCGCGGUAAUACGGAGGAUCCGAGCGUUAUCCGGAUUUAUUGGGUUUAAAGGGAGCGUAGGCGGACGCUUAAGUCAGUUGUGAAAGUUUGCGGCUCAACCGUAAAAUUGCAGUUGAUACUGGGUGUCUUAAGUACAGUAGAGGCAGGCGGAAUUCGUGGUGUAGCGGUGAAAUGCUUAGAUAUCACGAAGAACUCCGAUUGCGAAGGCAGCUUGCUGGA